CGCGGCCUAUCAGCUUGUUGGUGGGGUGAUGACCUACCAAGGCGACGACGGGUAGCCGGCCUGAGAGGGUGUCCGGCCACACUGGGACUGAGAUACGGCCCAGACUCCUACGGGAGGCAGCAGUGGGGAAUAUUGCACAAUGGGCGCAAGCCUGAUGCAGCGACGCCGCGUGGGGGAUGACGGCCUUCGGGUUGUAAACCUCUUUCACCAUCGGCGAAGCCCGUAGCUUUUGUUGUGGGUGACGGUAGGUGGAGAAGAAGCACCGGCCAACUACGUGCCAGCAGCCGCGGUAAUACGUAGGGUGCGAGCGUUGUCCGGAAUUACUGGGCGUAAAGAGCUCGUAGGUGGUUUGUCGCGUUGUCCGUGAAAUUCCCUGGCUUAACUGGGGGCGUGCGGGCGAUACGGGCAGACUGGAGUACUGCAGGGGAGACUGGAAUUCCUGGUGUAGCGGUGGAAUGCGCAGAUAUCAGGAGGAACACCGGUGGCGAAGGCGGGUCUCUGGGCAGUAACUGACGCUGAGGAGCGAAAGCGUGGGGAGCGAACAGGAUUAGAUACCCUGGUAGUCCACGCCGUAAACGGUGGGUACUAGGUGUGGGUUUCCUUCCUUGGGAUCCGUGCCGUAGCUAACGCAUUAAGUACCCCGCCUGGGGAGUACG
rnacentral:rRNA from 1 species